GACAUAGGUGGCGAACGUUAUCCGGAUUUAUUGGGCGUAAAGGAUGCGUAGAUGGUAAAGUAAGUUAUUGGUGAAUGCCAAGCUCAACUUGGCUGAAGCCAGUAAUACUGUUUUGCUAGAGAAUGGAAGAGGUUGAUGGAACUCUACGAGGAAGGGUGAAAUCUGUUGAUCCGUAGCGGACCACCAAAAAAUGGCGAAGGCAAUUAACUAUUCCAUUUCUGACAUUGAGGCAUGAAAGCGUGGGGAGCAAACCGG
rnacentral:rRNA from 1 species